GACGAACGCUGGCGGCGUGCUUAACACAUGCAAGUCGAACGGAAAGGCCCUGCUUUUGUGGGGUGCUCGAGUGGCGAACGGGUGAGUAACACGUGAGUAACCUGCCCUUGACUUUGGGAUAACUUCAGGAAACUGGGGCUAAUACCGGAUAGGAGCUCCUGCUGCAUGGUGGGGGUUGGAAAGUUUCGGCGGUUGGGGAUGGACUCGCGGCUUAUCAGCUUGUUGGUGGGGUAGUGGCUUACCAAGGCUUUGACGGGUAGCCGGCCUGAGAGGGUGACCGGCCACAGUGGGACUGAGAGACGGCCGAGACUCCUACGGGAGGCAGCAGGGGGGAAUAUUGCACAAUGGGCGGAAGCCUGAUGCAGCAACGCCGCGUGCGGGAUGACGGCCUUCGGGUCGUAAACCGCUUUCGCCUGUGACGAAGGGUGAGUGACGGUAAUGAGUAAAGAAGCACCGGCUAACUACG
rnacentral:rRNA from 1 species